AGGGUUUUGAUCAUGGCUCAGGAUGAACGCUGGCGGCGUGCCUAAUACAUGCAAGUCGAGCGCCCCUUUGUUUGUUAGUUAUCAUCCGAUAGCUAGUAAGCAUGGGGAGCGGCAGACGGGUGAGUAACACGUGAGAAUCUACCCCAAACUGAGGGAUAAGCUCGGGAAACCGAGUCUAAUACCGCAUAUGGCCUUUCGAGGUUAAAGCUUCGGCGGUUUGGGAAGAGCUUGCGUCUGAUUAGCUAGUUGGUAAGGUAAAAGCUUACCAAGGCGAUGAUCAGUAGCUGGUCUGAGAGGAUGAUCAGUCACACUGGAACUGAGACACGGUCCAGACUCCUACGGGAGGCAGCAGUAGGGAAUUUUCCACAAUGGACGAAAGUCUGAUGGAGCGACGCCGCGUGCAGGAUGAAGGCCUUAGGGUUGUAAACUGCUUUUAUAGGUGAAGAUUUUGACGGUAACCUAUGAAUAAGGAUCGGCUAACUCCGUGCCAGCAGCCGCGGUCAUACGGAGGAUCCAAGCGUUAUCCGGAAUUACUGGGCGUAAAGAGUUGCGUAGGCGACCUGUCAAGUUUCUACUUAAAGGCUGAGGCUCAACCUCGGAAAUGGUAGAAAAACUGACAGGGAUUGAGAAUGGGAGAGGUAGUUGGAAUUCCCCGGUGUAGGAGUGNAAAUCCGUAGAUAUCGGGAGGAACACCAAUGGCGAAGGCAGACUACUGGCCCAUUUCUGACGCUGAGGCACGAAAGCGUGGGGAGCGAACGGGAUUAGAUACCCCGGGUAGUCCACGC
rnacentral:rRNA from 1 species